rnacentral:lncRNA from 1 species
GAGUCUCUAACAUGUGCAGCCUCUGAUGAGGAGCAAGAAUGCCCCCUCUCAUCCAGCCUUGUCAGGGCCAAGUGAAAGAAGCCCGGGCAGGCCUGGGGAAGCUGCCCAAGGAGCCUCAGUAGUCAAUGCUGGCAUCGUUUCUCUCUCAGCCCCGUCUCUGUCACUUUGAAGCUUUCUACUGGUUUCCUUUGAGUCCCCUCAGCUCCCCAGUCAGAUCAAGGAAGAGCUGGUUGUUGCUUUCACAGACUUCAGGGGCAAGCAGAUCUGAGUACCUCGGGGGUCAAACAGACCUGCCCCAACCACAGCGUUGAAGAGGAGAUCCAUUUCCUAAAAAUGGGGGGAGACGGCUAUUGGUGGGAUACUCUAUUCACAUCUGUCUCCACUGCAUGUCUACAGAACGGCUCCCUGUAGUCUGGGAGUAGCGUUCCCUGGCUUCUCUGAGCUUCCUGCGGUCCACGAAAGGCUGUUUCCCUUGACAGAAGCCUUUCCUCUUCUUCCAUAUCUGGUUGACUGCAUGUCCUUUGGAGCCAGCCCUCUGGACUGAGGACUUGAAUCUCUGAUUAAUCCGCCCAGUACUCAGCUCCAUGGCCUCAGUGGUGUCCACGAGACUCUUGACACGGGACCUAUUCACAAGGGAAGGCACCUCCCCACAGAUGCACCUGAAAGCCGUGGACCCUGUGAUUCUCAGGAAUUCGGCUGACUGAUGGAGCAAUCCUUCCCACACGGGUGAAGGUGGAGGACUCCCCUUGACCCAGACACACGGGUAUUCCGUGAGUUUCUUGACGGUGCCAGUUCCUCUGAAGUAUGGAUUUUACUCCUUGGUGUUGUCUGAUUAGAUAAACUCUCCAAGAUAAAGAUCCGGAUAUAUUGGCAAGGGACCUGGCUUUUAGAAAACAUAUUCCUCAGAUUUAAAGUUGUAGGCCCUCUUUUCUCUCCAGAAACUCAGUCAUUUGCCCUGCAGAAUUUUCUACACUGUGGAUUUGCCUGACUACACCCUGUGGUGCUGUUCCUCUAUCUUGUUCUGGGUGCCAUUGACCUUUAGAUGGGCUGUACGGUGUGGGGUUCGGUGCCAUGGAUCUGCUUCUCCAGGGACCAGGAUCUUGAGAUCUUCAGGCUGGGUUUCCAUGGAGGCAUGGAGCUGCUUUUCCUCCUUCAUAACUGCACUCAAAACAGCCCUGUUGCUCUAGAAUGGAGACUUGGGCAACUCCUUCUGGCACAGAUUUGUUCACCUCAGGUGAAAUUCAGAUAGAAGCAAGCUGCAGGCAGUUUCACCUCUAAGUCCAUGGGUUCUCAACUGGUAACGUCCUCUUAUGGAUGUUAGCCCAUGAGGUCAAUCCUGUAGCAAUCUAAGGCUUGAGAAAAAUUAAUCUUCUGGAAAAUUCCAAGAAUACAUCUUAGGGAAACUGGCUCUACCUUUAUGACUUGGAUCACACAAGGAUAUGCUUUUCAUCUUGGACUAGAACUGAGAGCCAAUGGAUGUGUUAUCUAAAACUAUCCCAGUGUGUUCACUAUACAGAGGAAGAUUCUGAGAUUCAAGACUCAAGACUGAAGAAGAUCAUUAUUUUUAUUAUUUUAGUCUUAUGCACAAAAUGAUAUCUACUGAAUAAGCAGGUUUUUAAUAGCCCAUAGGAUAAGAAGAAACCAAGUCCUAAAAGUAGGCCAGCACCAGGGUUCAGGCCUCUGACUUCAAGCCAAGGGCUCAUCAUCUUGAAUUGCGCACGAAUUUUUACACAGCGCCAAAGGAAACUGCCUGUACUUACUGUUGUAGGUGCUUUGCUGGAUUCAGGAUGCAGACAAGGUCCACGCAUUGUGGUUGGGUGAGGUGUCUUUUAGGUCUCUUUUAAUCUGUAAUACUUCUCCCUCUCUUUUAAAAAUGCAUUUAUUUGUUGAAAAAA